AUGGCGCCGCCCCGUGCUCGCGCCCUCCUCCUGCCGCUAGCGGCGGCCACCGUCCUAGUCGCCUCCACCAUCUUCCUCUUCGCCGCCGCCGGCGCCAGCCGCUGGCGCCCCGCCGACACCGGCCUCCCCGUCCCGGCCACCCCCGCCGACUUCUCGGCCGUCCCUAUCGGUGUGAGUGUAACAUCCGCCGCCAAGGGUAAAGAGCUCUCCUUCCUUGAUGAGAAUGGCCGCCCCGACGACCCCAGCUCCGGCUCGGCGGCGGCUGCUGAACCUGGGAGAUGCGACCCCCGCGACGCUGCCGUCAGGGUGUUCGUUUACGACAUGCCGCCGGAGUUCCACUUCGGGCUGCUCGGCUGGGCGCCACCUCCCGGGAACGGCGGCGGCGUCUGGCCUGACGUCAGGGGCGGCACAGUCCCGCGCUACCCCGGUGGGCUUAACCAGCAGCACAGCGUGGAGUACUGGCUCACGCUGGACCUCCUGGCAUCCUCGUCAGCAGCACCGUGCGGUCCGGCGGUGAGGGUUGCCGACUCUCGUGAUGCGGACGUGAUCUUCGUCCCCUUCUUCGCGUCCCUCAGCUACAACCGCCACUCCAAGGCCGUGCCGCCGGAGAAGGUAAGCAGAGACAUGUCCCUACAGGAGAAGCUCGUCAGGUAUCUGGUGGCGCAGCCGGAGUGGAAGAGGUCCGGCGGUGCCGACCAUGUCGUCGUUGCGCACCACCCCAACAGCUUGCUCCACGCCCGAUCGGCGCUGUUCCCAGCAGUGUUCGUGCUGUCUGACUUCGGGAGGUACCACCCCAGGGUUGCCAGCUUGGAGAAGGAUCUCAUUGCGCCAUACCGACAUAUGGCGAAGACAUUUGUGAAUGACACGGCCGGGUUUGAUGAUCGGCCAACAUUGUUAUACUUCCGGGGAGCCAUUUACAGGAAGGAGGGAGGAAACAUUCGGCAGGAACUAUAUAAUAUGCUCAAAGACGAGAAUGAUGUUUUCUUUUCCUUCGGAAGCGUCCAGGAUCAUGGUGUCAGCAAAGCCAGCCAGGGAAUGCACUCAUCAAAGUUUUGCCUAAACAUUGCCGGGGAUACCCCGUCUUCCAAUCGUCUCUUUGACGCUAUAGUAAGCCACUGUGUCCCUGUUAUCAUAAGUGACGACAUCGAGCUCCCCUACGAGGAUAUCCUAGACUAUUCAAAGUUCUCCAUCUUUGUCCGUUCCUCUGAUGCUAUUAAAAAGGGCUACUUGAUGAGGCUAAUUAAAGGCAUAAACAAGCAUCGAUGGACAAGGAUGUGGAAGAGGCUCAAAGAAGUGGAUAAACAUUUUGAGUACCAAUUCCCAUCUCAUAAGGAUGAUGCGGUUCAGAUGAUCUGGCAAGCAUUGGCCAGGAAGGUGCCGUCGAUCCGACUGAAGGCACAUAGGUUUAGAAGAUCUUCAAGAUCUGAAAGAGGAAGCAAAUAA
rnacentral:rRNA from 1 species